rnacentral:rRNA from 1 species
GAUGAACGCUGGCGGCGUGCCUAAUACAUGCAAGUCGAGCGAACGGACGAGAAGCUUGCUUCUCUGAUGUUAGCGGCGGACGGGUGAGUAACACGUGGAUAACCUACCUAUAAGACUGGGAUAACUUCGGGAAACCGUAGCUAAUACCGGAUAAUAUUUUGAACCGCAUGGUUCAAAAGUGAAAGACGGUCUUGCUGUCACUUAUAGAUGGAUCCGCGCUGCAUUAGCUAGUUGGUAAGGUAACGGCUUACCAAGGCAACGAUGCAUAGCCGACCUGAGAGGGUGAUCGGCCACACUGGAACUGAGACACGGCCCAGACUCCUACGGGAGGCAGCAGUAGGGAAUCUUCCGCAAUGGGCGAAAGCCUGACGGAGCAACGCCGCGUGAGUGAUGAAGGUCUUCGGAUCGUAAAACUCUGUUAUUAGGGAAGAACAUAUGUGUAAGUAACUGUGCACAUCUUGACGGUACCUAAUCGGAAAGCCACGGCUAACUACGUG